CGCCGAAACACCGGUUUCCGUACGAUCAUCGAAGUUAAGCAACAUCGAGCCUGGUCAGUACUCAGGUGGGUGAGCGCUUGGGAU